UUUUCGAUCGAAUUCAGCAUCAGUCAACUUGGGACUUUGAGGGUGCUAUCUUUCUUUUAUUUUUUUUUCUUUUGAUUUUGCUUUUGAUUUUGCUUUUGAUUUCUUUUGAUUUUGCUUUUGCACCCUCCUCUUUCUUUUUUUUUUUCUCUUUUUUCUCUUUUUUUUUUUGAUAAUGCCCCAGUUGGCUGUUCUGCUGAUUCUCGAGAUGCAGCUGAGUGAUCUUCUUUUCUUGCUCAAGAAGUCGGGAAAUACCGUCAGGAAUCCCUUCA
rnacentral:lncRNA from 1 species